AGUGAACGCUGGCGGUAGGCCUAACACAUGCAAGUCGAACGGCAGCACAGAGGAGCUUGCUCCUUGGGUGGCGAGUGGCGGACGGGUGAGGAAUACAUCGGAAUCUACUCUGUCGUGGGGGAUAACGUAGGGAAACUUACGCUAAUACCGCAUACGACCUACGGGUGAAAGCAGGGGAUCUUCGGACCUUGCGCGAUUGAAUGAGCCGAUGUCGGAUUAGCUAGUUGGCGGGGUAAAGGCCCACCAAGGCGACGAUCCGUAGCUGGUCUGAGAGGAUGAUCAGCCACACUGGAACUGAGACACGGUCCAGACUCCUACGGGAGGCAGCAGUGGGGAAUAUUGGACAAUGGGCGCAAGCCUGAUCCAGCCAUACCGCGUGGGUGAAGAAGGCCUUCGGGUUGUAAAGCCCUUUCGUUGGGAAAGAAAUCCAGCCGGCUAAUACCUGGUUGGGAUGACGGUACCCAAAGAAUAAGCACCGGCUAACUUCGUGCCAGCAGCCGCGGUAAUACGAAGGGUGCAAGCGUUACUCGGAAUUACUGGGCGUAAAGCGUGCGUAGGUGGUUAUUUAAGUCCGUUGUGAAAGCCCUGGGCUCAACCUGGGAACUGCAGUGGAUACUGGAUGACUAGAAUGUGGUAGAGGGUAGCGGAAUUCCUGGUGUAGCAGUGAAAUGCGUAGAGAUCAGGAGGAACAUCCAUGGCGAAGGCAGCUACCUGGACCAACAUUGACACUGAGGCACGAAAGCGUGGGGAGCAAACAGG
rnacentral:rRNA from 1 species